CCCAUGGCACAAUGGAUAGCGCGUUGGUCUUCGAAUUCAAAGGUCGUGGGUUCGAAUCCUACAUGGGA